UUAGACCUAGUUCCCGUUGGAUCGUCGC
rnacentral:sRNA from 1 species